rnacentral:misc_RNA from 1 species
GCAACUGCAAAAUUCCGUUCUUCAGCCAAUGGAGGUGCAGAAAUUACUCAAGCAAUUAGCUGAUGAAAAAUUUUCAGAAGACAUAAAUGGAUGCCAGAUAGCAAAACCUGUUAGAUCUGUUGAAAAAUCAAAGGGCGAAAAAUCAAUAUUCUCAGAUCCGCAUCUACCAUUUGCAAACUCAAUGAGACCAUCUAUUAUGUCUUACUCCAAAGCUGAUGAUCUACUAAGUAUUCAUAUCCGACGAGGAGGUCUUGAUUUUGGUCAAAGUCAUAGCCAGUGGCUUCCUACUGUAUCACAGUCCCCCAAUGCUAUAUCAAUGUCGUUUGUGCCAAUCGCUUCACUUUUGAGUGGUGUAAGGGGCAGUGGAUUUUUAAGCCAUGCAAUUAAUCUUUACCUGCGAUAUAAACCACCAAUCGAGGAACUUG